CCCUUAGAUGUUCUGGGCCGCACGCGCGCUACACUGACGAAUGCAACGAGCUUAUAACCUUGGCCGAAAGGUCUGGGUAAUCUCCAAAUUUCGUCGUGAUGGGGAUAGAUUAUUGCAAUUAUUAAUCUUCAACGAGGAAUGCCUAGUAAGCGCAAGUCAUCAGCUUGCGUUGAUUACGUCCCUGCCCUUUGUACACACCGCCCGUCGCUCCUACCGAUUGAAUGGUCCGGUGAAGCGUUCGGACCGUGGCCUUUGGACGGUUCGCCGUCGAUUGGCUGUGGGAAGUUCGUUAAACCUUAUCAUUUAGAGGAAGGAGAAGUCGUAACA
rnacentral:rRNA from 1 species